UUUAAUAAAGCAAUUAAUUUAUUACUAACCUCUUGAUCGAGCAUUUGGCUGAUGAACGUUGGGCGAUCUUCUCCUUCAUUGCCAAUAUUCACUUUAAUCAGGGAGUCUUGUGUUUGAGCGUAUCCAGGCUUGGCGAUCCUUAUCACUUUGUCGUCUAGUUCCUUUGUAGGCAUUUCUUCUUCUAAACAAUCCACCUUGUUGACUUCUCGGCCAAUACUUUGUUCCAACUCGAACACUGCCAGUUUGUCUCUCAAUGCUUUCAAGGCUGCUGCUUCUUUCGUCUUG
rnacentral:lncRNA from 1 species